rnacentral:rRNA from 1 species
CAGCAGCCGCGGGAAUACAGAGGGUGCGAGCGUUAAUCGGAUUUACUGGGCGUAAAGCGUGCGUAGGCGGCUUUUUAAGUCGGAUGUGAAAUCCCUGAGCUUAACUUAGGAAUUGCAUUCGAUACUGGGAAGCUAGAGUAUGGGAGAGGAUGGUAGAAUUCCAGGUGUAGCGGUGAAAUGCGUAGAGAUCUGGAGGAAUACCGAUGGCGAAGGCAGCCAUCUGGCCUAAUACUGACGCUGAGGUACGAAAGCAUGGGGAGCAAACAGGAUUAGAUACCCCAGUAGUCCCUGUCUCUUAUAA